rnacentral:rRNA from 1 species
GUGCCUAACACAUGCAAGUCGAACGAAGCACCUUACCUGAUUCUUCGGAUGAAGGUCUGGUGACUGAGUGGCGGACGGGUGAGUAACGCGUGGGUAACCUGCCCUGUACAGGGGGAUAACAGUUGGAAACGGCUGCUAAUACCGCAUAAGCGCACGAGAGGACAUCCUCUUGUGUGAAAAACUCCGGUGGUACAGGAUGGGCCCGCGUCUGAUUAGCUGGUUGGCAGGGUAACGGCCUACCAAGGCGACGAUCAGUAGCCGGUCUGAGAGGAUGAACGGCCACAUUGGAACUGAGACACGGUCCAAACUCCUACGGGAGGCAGCAGUGGGGAAUAUUGCACAAUGGGGGGAAACCCUGAUGCAGCAACGCCGCGUGAGUGAAGAAGUAUUUCGGUAUGUAAAGCUCUAUCAGCAGGGAAGAUAAUGACGGUACCUGACUAAGAAGCUCCGGCUAAAUACGUGCCAGCAGCCGCGGUAAUACGUAUGGAGCAAGCGUUAUCCGGAUUUACUGGGUGUAAAGGGUGCGUAGGUGGCAGUGCAAGUCAGAUGUGAAAGGCCGGGGCUCAACCCCGGAGCUGCAUUUGAAACUGCAUAGCUGGAGUACAGGAGAGGCAGGCGGAAUUCCUAGUGUAGCGGUGAAAUGCGUAGAUAUUAGGAGGAACACCAGUGGCGAAGGCGGCCUGCUGGACUGUUACUGACACUGAGGCACGAAAG